rnacentral:lncRNA from 1 species
GAAUCAAUAGUAACAGAAUAGGCUGUGAUCGUAUCCUCUACACAUGAAUCCAAGCCAAGCGUGAAGGAACUGCUUUGAGAGAAGGGUCUUAGGAAGAAUAGGGUGCACAUGAAUAUGAUUCUAAAAAUUCCUUUUCCCUUUGGCCGUAUCCGCUCAAGGCAAGCCUGAAACAAAUCUUGUCGACUCCCGGCACGUACCGCACUCAGUUCUCCUAGGCCCCCUUAUUUUAGUAGGCGCUACAACCGCGCUUCGCAAGACCUUUCGGCAGUGAAAGCUCUAGGAUGCAAGCCCUAUCUUGACGUGCUUCGUGACGUAAUCUGCGAGAGAAUCCAAUGUGGUGGUUAUUGGGUCCUAAACCUAUUAAGCUAGUCAAAAUGAUGGAAGGAGUAAAUUCCUUCUAUGAUCAACUAUCGAUGGCACAAGAUGUAAAGAAGGGUAAGCUUGUGCUUUCACCAGAACGUGGGUUGGAAAGGGCAAGUACCCGGGAUUCCGCUUACUUUAAUAGUAGAAUCAGGUCCUUGGGCAGUACUCGAGGGGGUUUACCUGGUUCAAGUUCUGGUUCCCCCCGUUCCCCAAUGGCAGAUCCUUCUGUUGCCUCACCUUCUUCUGAAGCCUCACCUUCUUCUGAAGCCUCACCUUCUUCUGAAGCCUCACCUUCUUCCUUGGUUAUUCAUUCCCCUUCACCCGAUGUUUUAAAUUCUAUGAAGCAUACCCUGGGCUGCUUGGUUAUGGUUUCGGCGAUAAAGCUGAACGUGGACCCAAGUGUUCUAAUGGGAGGGAUACACGAGGUCUUGGCAUGAUAGCUCAGAAUUUACCACUGGAGACAGUGAGAGAGGCUAUCCUCAGUGGUAUUUACGAUACUGGGGUUAGCCCGUCUUCCAUCUAUUAUUAGUCUGCCUAGCCUUCAAAUCGGCUAAGGUACCUUGAAUUUCAAUCGUAGGUAAAGUAGAAAAUUGUGUAUGGUAAGUAGUCCCCUAGCGCUUAUUCGUCAAAGGGCGAUUGCCUUCUUGCUCUAACUCCUCAAGUCAAGUAAGGGUUGAAGUCCCCUUUUGCCUAAGGAGAAGUAGAGGAAGCGUAAAGCCUCCGCCUUUGCGCGCAUUUGGUGCGCUAUUGAAGAAAAGAGCAUUUCUAUCUAAUAAUAAUAAUAUAACAGAACGCUUCGCAUUGGCUAGCUUGCUUGGCCGCACACAUAUAGAUUCAAAUAGCCCAUUCAAGUCGAUUCCGUGGGUUGGAUUACUUCUUUUUGCGAUGAUUCCAAAAUGUCAAGCUUCAAUCGUAUAAUGACGAUAAACGACCAAGUCCUCACUUUCAUCUACAUAUAGUGCAAUCGAGCAAGCAGUCUUUUAUGUAGUACGAUCAAUCAAGCCUACCGCUGAUUGCGCGGCCAUUGAUUUUUCAUUUUUAAGAAGCUCCUCCAAACUAGAAUUCGGGAGUUUUUCCAACUAUACCCACUCUAAAAAAAAGAGAUCAACAACUUCUUUUGAAUGAAAUUCCUUAUUUAUUGAAGAAAGUUCCUUUUAUANNNNNNNNNNNNNNNNNNNNNNNNNNNNNNNNNNNNNNNNNNNNNNNNNNNNNNNNNNNNNNNNNNNNNNNNNNNNNNNNNNNNNNNNNNNNNNNNNNNNUCUUUUCCAGCGGUCCUUUUCAUGUCCGAUCCAGACGAGCUUUUCUAGUCUUCUACUUUCGAGCAAGUUGCAGUUGCAGUCUUUGCUAGGGCAAAAGCAGGAAUAUUUGCUCCAGUGUUAAGAAGGAUGAAAUUGCUAGACCGGAGGAAGAGGGAUUUGAGUAAGGCAGUUCUAAAAGCCUAUUCUAAUUACUUCUCUUGCAGCCAGUCCUGCCUUUGGGAGUGCCCCUAUGAUCGAAUGUGAGCAAGUUUUUUCCGGGAUACGUUGCGUCUUUCAUUAUCUUUGGGUCAUUUUUCUAGUGGUAGUCUCGGCUUAAUAUUAUGCUGAAGAAGUAGUGGCCUACCCAUAACCAGUAGAAAUUUGAGUCCUUCUUAAGGCUUUUUUAUCCAUAAUAUUUUUUUCCUUUUGUAAGACUUCCAAUUACGCAAGCCCUUCUAAAUGCAGCAAAAGGAUAAGAGCCCUUUCCUAAUUCCUUGCUGUCCAUCCAGGUGAGCAACUAGCUUUAUACGAUUUCAUUUUUACAGGUUUCUUUUCUUACCCCAGCCUCCUAGCCUUUUUAUUUUCAAAGUGCCCUUUCCUAAGAUGUCUCUCUCCUUGCUUAUUGAUUAGUCGUCGAGCAACUCCGUCCCUUUCUGUGGGACAAGCUUUUGAAAAUGCUUAUAGAAAGCUAGUUUUCAUUUCAGGCAAGGUUAGAGUUCAAGCCAGGUUACAGUUAUUCUUCAAGACAGGGGGAGUCGUUUUUAUCGCCAGUGAUGGUUCAGGCAAUUCUACUUCUGAUCUAGCAAACCCCUAAUCUAAUGAGCCUGUUGCAGUCCUUAGGCGAGCAAGUCAGUUUGAAAGCUAGAUUCCUUACGCAAGAAAGCCUGGGAUAGACACGAAAGCAAAGGAUCUUAGGUAAGCCACUAUUUCUACUUCUUUUUCAAGCGAGCAAGAGAGGACUAAGGCAAGGGCUAGAGCCUGUUCAGUUUAAGAAAGUUUAUUUUCAUAUAUAAUAAGGGAUUACCCGUGCCAUUUCCAUUCCUUGAGUGAAUUGAUAAAAUAUCUCAUAUUACUUGAGUGCUUAUGAGUAUCUAUUUCCAAGUCUCCCUAUGCUUGGAGGGAGGGUUUCAUUCUAAUUCUUCACCAUCUGACGUCGAAGGUUCUCGGGUAAGCUAGAAAGCAAAGUAAGCCAAAACCUGUGGAAGUCUCUCAUACCUCACCCCUCUUAGGAAAUGCAGCAGCAAUAACUCUCCAGGCUAGCUCUCUCGGGCUAUUCUAAUCAGUGCUUCUACGUCGGUUCAGGUGAAGUGCUUUCAUCCCUUGUUACAGCGAGUGUUCCAGUGAGACCCUUUUUCAAGAAAGUCAAAAAGCCCUUAUUAAAUAAAAAAAGAGUCUUAAGGUAAAGGUAAGCUCCUCCUGUUGAAAGCCCAUCUAAUCGAGUUGUAGUGCUAACUCCUGUUUCUAAAGAAUUGAAAGAAAGAGUUGUAUUUUCAAAUAAAAAGUUGCAUAGCCAGUUGUUUUACUUUCUAAUAAGCUAACAAGCUAACGAUCUUACAGGCCCACUUUGCUUGGUAGAACUAUUGGGCUCUGGCUCUUGGUCCACUCCUGCCCUUUGUAGUGCUUCCGCAAGCCCUGUCAUAUCUUCUGUCAUGCGUUCUGCCUUCCCUGUGGAAGAAUGUUCAGCUCCUGUGUUUCAAUGGAAGUUGGAAUUGGAUCUCUUAUUUUUGCAAGCCAUUUCUAGUCCUUUUUAAGCCCAGUAGAAAAUGAAAGAUUACUUGUCUUUUCUUUCGCCUAAAUGCUAUGCUUUCGAGCGAGUAAAAGCUAGAAGCUAGGUAGUUUGAAAGCCUUCCAAUUGGAGUGCUAUCAUUUAGACUCUUAAUACCGAGCAUAAGAGCUAACAGGCAUACGAUAGGGAUAGCUUUUAUAACAGUUCUAAGGUGAGCCCCUCCUCUUCCAGCCAUUGAUUCUGUCUGCGGGCCUGUUGGAGUCCUCUUUUUUUUGUGGUCUAUACGAAGGAGUUCCCCAGCGAUCCCUUUUAAACCUUUACUUUAAGCAGUCCCUGCCCCCUAAUUAAGUAGGGGUUCUGCAUUUGCAGGCCUAAGGCCUCUUUUUCCUUACAGUUGUGAGGCCAGACCUAAGAGAAUGACUUUUCCAGGCAUUUAUGCUUAUCUUGGAUAGGUCAGAUAUGGCGUGUAUAAGGCUAAGACGGAAUAAGGCUUGUAAUAGAUGUAACGCUUUAAUAUGUGUAAUAGGCUUUUAGUUAAGCACUCCCAUUUCGCUAAUCCUAGUGCUUCGUCCUUACAAUGCUUCUUCUUUACCUGGGGUUGAAGUUCCACAAUUUGAAUAGCUUAUAUCUUCCCGGCCCCGGCUUUUUCCUUCCUUGCGCUUGGAGUUGGAGGUCCUGUUGCCAGCAAUCUAGUUUCAGUUUUUUGAAUUCCUCUCUUUUUAAGUGCUAAGUCUUUCCAUGUGCUUUGAUAGGGGUAAUACACUAUCUCUAGUCGAGAAGACGAUCGAGCCAAUCUAAGAGGUCCGGGUGAGUUCCUUUUGCUGCAGUCCUAAGGCCAGCCAUUGAUCCAGUUGUGAGGUAUUAAGAUUUUGCCCUUGCCCAUCUUUGUUUUGCGAUUUACUUUGGAUUAUUCCAUGGUUGCCUCUCCCUCUCUAUAGAGUAGAGUGAUUUUAUACCUCUUCUUAUUUUUUUAGAGAAAAAAUAACUUAUGAAUAGGGAUUUUAUUUCUUCCCUGCCGCAAGGGAAAGAGCCUAAGCUAGUUCAGUUCCAUCGCCUUCCAGUGUUUAUGCCUGCGAUCCAGUUAUAGAACUUGCUUCAAUGCGAGGCUUGCCAGGAUUAUCUUCCAAGGCAACAAUCACUCGAACAAUAGGGAAGAGGGAUUUCACCCCUGAAUCUCUUACAACCGCAGUGGAUUUAUCAGGGAAGGUAGGGGCACGUUACAUUCAUUAGAGCGAGUGCGCCAGUGAGUUCCUUAUGAAGUGAAGGUAGGAGUCUUUUCCAACCAUUGGAAGUUCUCCUUCAGACAUUAGGAGUUCUAGUUAUCUUAAUCGAGGUGGAGUAGCUUUCGAUGUCGUACCAGCCUCCCCAGAUUCUAUUCAUUCAGCCGAACCAAUUGCAGUACUAAGAUCUGAGCGCAUAGAUCUCUCUCUGGGCCUAUCUAAUAGCAUAUCUAAAAGUGAUUUGAUAUCUUAUGAUGACAUCUUUUCUGGUAUAUCUGUUGGCGCUCUAGCUCUAUAAAAAUGAGCUGUAGUUCUAGUGAAUGCUUAUUGAUUUUGAAUGCCCAUCCCUUCCCCUGUUAGCGCUUUCGACUUCUCAUCUUUCAGAUGUGAUGUAGCCGUUCGAUCAAAGAAGGAAAAUCCAGCUUCUAAGUUAGAAUAACUAGUUUUAGGUUCCGGUUCUCGAGCAAGUGAGUUUGAAAAAGGCUCCUUCUCUUUUCGAGCUCGUUCUAGUUGCUUUUCCCUCUUUUUUGGUAAAAUAAGAUACUUUAGUUCUGUUCUUCUGUGUUUAAGGCUAAAGAUAAAGAUAUAUCAGCAGUUCCUGUUGUAAGCUAAGCCCCUAACAAUGGUAGUUGCAGUGGAGGUUUCAGUUAUCCUGUUGUGAGCAAUAAGUUGGAAAGCCUUUUUCUUGAAAAUUAGUCUUAGGCAUCUUUUCUAAGAGGGUUCGCGGGCAAGCUAGAAAACCCGUUACUUUACAUCAGUCCCUGUUUCGGGUACGAUUUAUUGAUAGUAGUCGUCUCUGGCUCCCCUUUGAAUAUUCUUUCUUCUUAACUGAUUCUCUCUCAUCCAAUAGGAUAUUCCCAACAGUGGUUCAAUCUGGUUUCCGUUGCUGUCGAUAGAGCUUAGGUAGUAAGAGUUUCUACGGAUAGUCGUUUCUAGGGCUUAUGCCUUACAGUCGUCUUAAGCUCUUCCAUCCAGCCAGUGCUAGAAAAAGGUGCUUCAAUCGAAUGUGAGGACAACAAAUUCAGUGUAAUGAUAUAUUCUGGUUAUCCAGUGAGAGAGUGAGUUCGUUCAAUAAAAUGCUCUACUCGGCCUCUGCCUCUGGGCCUUGCUCUCCUAAAUUUAGAUGCUUUUUCCCAUAUACCUAGAUGGAGAAUUUUGAAUAGGCUUUCUGGACCUUCAGAUUCAAUAAUAGAUAUUGGGGUAAGGUCAAAGUCAAACUCUUUCGUUCCAGUGAAAAGGCAAACACAUCCAAUUGCACUUUACUAUACUUCGUAUUUAAUAAUAUGAAAAUGAAAAGAAGGAAGGGUAUAUUAAUAGUCUAUUUAUACUAAUAGAAAAUAUAAUACUCCAGAAAAGCCAGAUCCCCCAUCAAACCUUGGGCUUCUACUUUUGAAACUCUAGAAAACUGAGUUCUUGCAACAAUUUCAUCUGCUCUAAGACCAGAGGUUCGGGCCUCCAUUAAAACUACUACUGCUGGAUCAUGCAUCCUCAAAGCUCUCGUAAAGUACGAUUGAAUUCAUCAUUCGCUGCUCCUCUGCAAUUCCAGAACAUUAUCUUCAUAGGGAAGACCAUAAGGGAUUUUUAGCUCAAAGCCCAUGGUGGGUACGGCCUCUCCGUUUGGCCCAUCCGCUUCCUUUGUCUGCUAAAAUCAUUGAGUUCAAAUCAAGAAACUUAAGAUAAACAAUCAGCAACCCUCCUUCAUUUCGAGAGGAGAAAGAAAGAUAGGAAAGAGAGUGCCAUCCGAAAAUUAGGUGGAAUUUGUCCUAUUGAAUCGAAGCAGUCCGCUCUCUAUCCGGUGGAGAGCUCUUGUUUUCACCAAGGUCUGAGGGAGUAGCCCUUAAGCACUUUGAAUUUAUAUACCUAAUAUAAGUAUAUAGGGUAAGGAUAAAAGUGCCCAUUCUUAGCAUCACUUCCUUCAGCUCGACUAGCUUCUUUCAGAAGAACAAAUCUUGUCCAUAUGUUCGGUUAGCGGGACAUUCAAACAAAGAAGCUAUGCACCAAAACGGAAGAUUGUACUUAUAGUACACGAGCAAAUCAAUGAAAUAAGUAAGUUCCUACUAUCCAACAAGCAAGGGAUUGAGCGCUGACGCGCGAAAGCCGUUGCACAUUAGCAGCGCAUCUGUUUUCUUGCUGGGAACAAAAGGAAUAAGCGCUCAAAGCUAAGAUCAGCUGCUAUUGGACUUCUUUCCUUGGCUAAAGUAAAGGGGAUCAAUCCCGGCGAAAGAGGCUAGAUUCCAUUCCUCCUCCCCGCUUUAGAGAAGGUAAAAUGUUAUAAGGUCGAGCUCUUAAUCUGUCUUUUAUGUCACGAAUCGCUUGGUUUAAUCAAUAGUAUAAGGAAAAAGAUUGAAGAUUGAAGUAAGGUCUUCCCUCACCAGUCCCAUUUCGGAUUCUUUGUACGAUUGGGAAAAUACCUUUCCCGCACAUUCCUUGCCCCAUUCUUAUACUAUUGAUCUGACUCCAGAAAUUCCUUUUUCUAUUUCAUAAGGGUCACACAGCCUAUGCCUAUUCUGUGCUGCUCUCUGAUUGACUUCCUCACUCGGAGAUAGCCUUUUCUAUCUUUUUGGCUUAAGCAGACCAUUCGUGAGCAGAUAAGAUCAAAGAAAGCAACCCAUGCAUACUAAAAGAAUAGGACAAGGAAGUGACAUAUAAUACUAAUAUAAGAGGAGGCUGGUAUUCAAUUAGCUAGAGAGGGAGACAGGGUUAAGGCAGAUGCCAGUCUAAUCUUCCUUAGAAUGGCUUAAUUGAACACGAAUCGCUUGGUUUAAUCAAUAGUAUAAGGAAAAUGGCAUAGAAUGUGCUGUUGUCGCAUGAAUAGGAAUAGGUUGUUCAAGAAGUGGUUGCAUAUAAAAGAAGGAGUUCUUUGACAGAGCUGAAAGUAAAUGGGCAAAUAGGUUCUUUCGGAUCUCUAGCCAAUAGCAAACGAUGUCGAGUAGCUAGCUCAUAGCGUCCGAUUUGUGGUAUAAAGAGAGAGAGAUGAUAGGAUGAAGACAAAGACAAGAGGAAGAAGUAAGGCGACGCUUUACCUUAGCCUUUUUUUUUAUUUUAUUUAAUAAGGGCUUUGCCUUUGAAAGAAGAAGGGCUUAGGCAUUCUGUCGAAUCAGUAGUUAGGGGAAUGGGAUUGCUGUUUUCGGCUUUGCCAUUCGAAUUUGCUCUUAGAAAGGUAACUAUCAUCUCAGAUAAGGCGACGGAAGGGAAUGAUUUCACAUUAGUAAGACAAGGAAUAGGAGUAGCAGUCACUGGUCUUUCUUUAGCAGGGAUAGAUCGAAAAAAGGGAGCAACUCGUAGAGGAAUUCGAUCUUUUGGUUUAUCCUAUAAUAGGCUCUUAGCCAGCUCGAGAAUUCACUCUUUGUUGAGAUGAGACAGUUGGGAUGGAGCUUUCUCCCAUAGCAAGAGAAGAGGGGAUUUGGCUCUUUGAAGGACAACUACUAUUUCAUCAACUGCUAUUGAAUCCGGUCUUUGAGAAUCCUUUGCACAUGAACACACUGUUACAGAAGGAGCUGCACUGCAAUAAGACGUCGGAGGAAAGUUCCUGAACCGAGCUCACUGAAGCAUAUGCUAGAAAAGUCAUUUCGCCUAAAGCACACAAGGAAUGGAAUGGCAUCCCGGGAAAAUGGCUGAAUCCGACUCUAAGAUGAUUUGGAAUGCAGAAGGAGAUUCUCCGACUAUCUUUAAUAGGCUACUUGGAAUCCCGAGGAAUAGAAGAAUCAUACAGGGGAAGGGGGGCUUUCUUAAGGAUUCGAUAUCGCACGGGAAGUGAGAUGCGAUCUUUCCUCAAGCCCAUGCCAUCAGAGCUCAAUUCAAUCGAGGGGAACAUUGGUCACUCCCAACCUACUUAGGGCGCUAGAGUAAACUUCAGCCACAGCAGGAUCGGUGAUAACAAUAUCAUCACCGAGUACUGCGUAUUUAUCCAAAAGCUCACCAGGCCGAGCCUGCUCUGCAGCCCACCACACAACCAUGUGAUGGAGACAAUGCAAAUAAAGGCCAAGAAGCGUAGUAUCCAAGCGGUUGUCCAGCCACAAAAGAAAUAUGAGAGAACUUCCUCUUUACAAAGGGGAUCUCGAAGAUAUUCCAAGCUAGUGCGGAAUUCACCACACUAGAAGCGAACGACCGAUCGAACAGAUAACACAUUAUCUCGAACAGGAGUACCAAAGGCCAACUAUCCGUGGCGGACUUCAAGUCGAAACAAUAUGUUUUCUGCUCGCCAACUAAUCGAUCUAUGGGUUUCAGUUGAUCAAACGUACCAUCAGUUGGUAAACGCUUGAGAACCCCUUACUACCACGAAGUGGUCUUCUUUGUUGUAGUAUUUAAUAAAUGUCACCUAAAAUGCUUCUUGUUUUUUACAAAAGAAGAGUUCCAACGUUUCCAAAACGCUUCCCCGUGGAAGCCCAAGCUUAGUCCACUACUCAACUCAGGUUGGCAGGUGCUUGUGCAUACAAUAGUAUUCAAGUCCUUAAUCUUAGUCCUAGGAAGAAGGGGAUAUUCAUUCAAGCCAAUUCGAUUUGCUUGGGGGAGUUCCCCCAAACUCCUCGAAGUCCCACAUCCAACUCCCAAUAACAACUUCACCUCCUUAAAGCACUUCAAAGACAGCCGAUUCAGCUUACUAAGAUGUCUUCUGCUGGUAUGGUACCUGCUUAUGAAUAUGAAAACUCUUGGCAGGAAAACUAGGGGAUUUGGCAAAGCACGCACCGUUGUGACAGAGCGUUAUCACCCUUUUCAUAAUGAAACUGACUAUGUCAUAGCCUCAUUCGUGGACUCGUGCUGCUAAUAAAAACCUUUCAUUCACUUCGAAACCAAGACUAACAGAUUCUUUAUGGAGGGGGAGUGGAGGGGAAGGAAAAGACAGGUUAAGCCUAGAGAGUAGAGUAGUGUGUAGGAACUGAGCAUACGCUAGAAUCACGCUAAGGGCUGCUUCUGCUAGGCAAUCAUCUUCUAAUUCAUUUUUUUUCUACAAACCUAGGCAUUUGACGCUACUUUGAAAUGUUAACCUUCUUUGCUUCAGAGAAGAGUGGAUGAUCUGCCGGCUCUUGCACAAAUUUGUAAAAGUUUUUGCAAACCCCCAAUUCUACAGUGGCAUGAGAGACAGCAGCCCUAAGGUCCACCCUGAUUUCAUUUAAAAAAACGCGCUAUUCUUGUUUCAGCCUCAUACAGAUAUUGAAUUGAAUAACCUGGGAUCAAAGUACACAGUCUUAGCUUCUCUGGUUCUUCUUAUCCCAAGUCCUCCUCUGGAUAGAUUCUAAUCAAGAAGUGUUUUGACCCCUUUCCUUCUCUUUAUUGCUUUUCCGAUAGCCUUUAGUAUAGGAGCAUCUCUAGUGGUCCCGCCUAACUCUUCGUUAUCUGUCUGAAUACCUCUUACUAUCUGCCUCUGUUCCACGAAUAAGUUAAGGUGCCAGAAUGAGCUUCCCUCGUUGAUUCUUUAUACUUAAGUAUACCCUGAAGACAGAAUGAACGGAUCGAAGACCGAUUCUGAUCUCAAAAUGAACCUAUCCCUGCCUUAUUCAACUCAGAACUCAAAACAGGUCUUUGGCAUCCUACGCUCUCCUUCAACUAAGGGUGAUAGGAAGUGAAGCCUAGCUCGACCGAAAGAAAAGGGUAAGAGCGGAGUCGUAGAAGCGAGAGGAAAGUAGUCUCUCGCCCUAAUCAAUAAGCAGGAGAGGAUAGAAAGUUCCAUGUCUGAGAAGGAAAGGAAGAAGGGGACUCAUGAUCAUCGGAAUGGGAGGGUUGAAGGGAAAUGCUCCCUCUCCGGCAAUGACUCUUGAAUCAGCUGUGACUUCCUGGAGAAGUAGCUGCACAUUCAUUCUAAGGAAAGGAUAUCUUGGCAAGAAGAUAUGUGUGGCCAGUAGCUUUCACUGUCAAUCUCUUCUCGUACUGUAAAGAAGCAUGAAUGGCAUACCAGUUUGAUCUUAUUUCCAGGGAGUGAAUGGAACCUAUCCUUUAAAGUAAAGCCAGUCAGUGUCAGUCAAUUUCGGAGCGGAGAAGUUAGAAGUUAUAACAUAUCCCGAUGUCAAGGUGAGACGUCCAGCUCUUUAAGAAAGAAGGUUCGUCCUAGCUUAGUCGAAGUCUAAGUCAAAACCAGAAUCCCAACAGUGCUAAGCUAGUAGGAUUUCCUCUUGGAAAGAAAGGACUAGAGAUCAUAAGCUAUCCAAUCAGUAGACAGGCUAGGAACUCUACGAGGAAAGGAACAUCCCGUAGAAAGCUUUAUCCUAGAAUGUAUAAUGAAGAUCAUCAUUAAACGGAGGAUAACAACCGGGAAGGAUAUGAGAGACUACGGUUCAAAGCUUCCGAACGAACUAGCUAGAGCUGGAUCUACUGAACCUGAGGGAAUAAGGAAAGAAGCAAGCUUGGGUGCUUUAUGUCUUUUUGCUUGUAGCAUGAUAUGUAGUAAAGUCGGCUGAACACAAACCCAAUCUAAGUGAAACCCUCCUUUCCUUCGAAAGGUAGGAGCUCCAAUCCGGCUCGGUUAGGGUAGACUCAGGGGAAGAGUUGUGCACAAAGGUUUGAACCAUAGGGCAGGGACGGCGACCAACAACAGGAGAGCACUCGGUGUAGGUCUUUCCUUGAUCCUAAUAAAGGCUCAGUGGUUCAAUUAGGCUUUGGGAGCAGGAGAAAAAGCCAGAUGGACCACCAAGAAUCGACAUAUUCGCCGUGGCAAGGAAGGAGGAUAAUCCAACCAUUUUUGCUCAAAAAAGUGAGCGAGAACUUAUGAUAAAAAGUGCCAUUUAUUGGUGUCAUACGCCUUCCAAAUGUCCAAUUUCAACCCAAUGAAUGUUACCACCUCUAGCUUUCAGCUGCAACGAAUUAACAAGCUCCGAUGCCAAUCCAAUAUUAUUUUGUCUGGCGCUAAAGCCCUUAACUUAAUAAAGGCACCCUGAUACUCAGAUACAAGUUUAGAUAGAAGGCAACCUUAUCGCCAAGAUUUUUUUGAUAAUGAAGAGGAUUAAGUUGGCAAAACAUAAAAUAUAGCUCUAAACUGAUCAAUGGAGAUAGCAUUGCUUUAUUUAGGAAUUACAGUAAUAAAACAGCAAUUCAUUGAGCCUUCACGAGAAUAAGAGGAUUGGAUCGCCUUGCAAACGUCGCUGCCUAUGAUAUGCCAACAGGUUCGAAAGAAGCUUUCUGGGAAGCCUUACUGAGAGGGACCAGGGGACAUCCUUCUCGAAGACCGUGCUUUUUAUCUCGUCCUCAUCUGGCAUAGCAGUUAGGAAAGCAUUGUCAUCCUCGGAUACCACUGGAGGAAUCGAUUCCAGGAGUUCCGGAUGGGCUUUCCUGGGGCUGGAGGUGUUAAACUUAUCAAAGAAUUGGAACAUGUACUAAUAAAGAAUGUUGGUCAUCUUGGAUUUCGUAUAAAGAGUUUUUCGAUCUAUGUAUUUGACCCGAGAUUUUUGCUUCCACAUCCUAUAUUGAAGUCACAACGCAUUAUGGAGGUCCCUUUUCAGCUGCAAUUUCUCCCUCUCCCGAUCUCUUUCUUCUCCUACUGGUCGCUUCGCUUCUUUCUUUCGUUAGCUUCCUUUCUUUUCUUUCUUUUUUUUUUCCUCGCUUUUUUUGUUUCAUCCAGAACGAUGUGCUGAGACUUCCUCGGUAAGAAGAAAACUCUUGAUGAGUAGGGUUUGCACUGAUAUUUUUUAUGAAAGAAUUUCCCAGUGGUGGCCGGGAAUUCCUCUUCAGAGAAGGAAGUUUUUCCGUAUUGAGAUUUGAGGCUACCAUAGCUAUUACCCCAGUGGAGUUCGGAACGAGCCUUAAAAAAAACGCAAUUCCCACUAAUGAAUCUUGAAUUCGUACAGUAAGAUGCUCCGAUCCGAGUCUUCCCCCUUCAUUGCUCUCGAGUUCUUUCGAAGCUGGGGCCGGCUAUUCAUUUCCCGGUUGUACAGAUAAAGAUGAUUUGGUUCGACGCAUUUAUACCAGAAGGUUGCUCCGCCUGCCCUACUUGAAAGAGGGUUUCUCGCUGCUAAUUCUGAUUAUACCAUGGACCACUACUUCAUGACCUGAUUAUGAAACCUGGCUUCUAGCCGUGGUUUACAAAGACGCAACUCAAUAAGAAAGGGCUUCUUUUCUUUCCUAGUUCUUUUAGUUUAUAGAUUACCUCGGCAAAAAAGAAAACGAGAGCUAGAGCUUGAAUCAAACAGUCCAAUGGCAAUCAUUCCUAUUAUUGUCUGACGCGCUCCUGCUUUGAACCUUAACGUAUCGAUAAAAAAUCCCUUUCUCAUUUUAGACUAGGGCUUCUCUCUAUAAAUAAGGGAAUUUCUCCGCUUCGGAUGAUGUCUCCUCGGGCCCUUCGAAUGCAUUGUUUUCAUGGUCGCUAGGAGAGAGCCUUCUAGCAGCGUUUAGGAGGCUUUGAGAAAAAAAAACCAGGGAUUAGGGCAAAAUGGACCAGGUCUUAAAACGCAAUUAUGACUAAUCAAGAUGGAACCCGCCCAGAUAACGUAGCAGGAACCAAUCCACAUAGGGGGCCAUCAGUAAAAAAUCGCCGAGAACACUAUCCGAAAGCGGUUGUUUUCUCUUCUUUUGGAAAUUGCCCGGUAAGGGCUGGUUUGGAUGGGGCAAGAACAUCAGGAAGGUGUUUUCGUUCGGAUACAGACAUGGCAAUCUACGUAUGUGAAGUCUCGAUUAAGCUGCCUAAGCAUAGAUCCAACCCGCUACUCAAGUAGGCUGCCAUUGGGAAAGAAAUGCCCUUCUAGCAUUGCCACUUGCUUCAAGCUGCUCUUUCUAUAAGCUAUAUUCUAGUAGUGAUUCGAGAAGGAAUUCAUGAGUGACUGACCAUCCAGUCUUUCCUUCGUAUGAGACCGGACAUGCCAGCGAAUCGAAUAGCGUAGGAAGUAAACAAGUCUAAAUGGUGGAAAGCUAGCAAGGGAUAAAGCAUUUUUUUCAGGUGAGCGAAGGAGAAAAAGUUUGUUGGUUGAAAUAGGGUUUUCCUACCACGAUAGUGGAAAGCGCAGUUCAAGUCAGUGCUUUCCUUCCCGGCGAGAAGUCCAAUCCCUUCUUUUAUGGUGGAUAACUUGAAUAGUAAGGGCUAUGCGCAAUCAACACAAAUCGGAUUCUCGAACACCGAAAAAAAAAAAAAAAGUUUUUUUUGAAUGGAAGCGUUGAUCGGCCAAAGUUCGCCUUUCCACUGACUGACUCGUCGGACUGCCCUUGAUGACCCUACCGUUCGUCUCGUUCACCUCUUUCAUCGAAUAGAAUGAAAGGAAAGGCAGAUUCAUCUUGCUCGAAAACAUCAUCGGACGCAGUCUAAGAAUCCUUUGUUUUUGGACUUCGAUCAUCUAUGGGCUACCGACUGCCUUCACUUACUGCCGCAGAACACCGGUAUAACCAGUUCAAAAGGAAUGCCUUGCUCUCAUGUUCGCAGCACAGAAGAUGCGACAUUACCUAAUUGGUAACACCAUAUACCUGGUGUCAGGAGUCAACCUUUUCAAGAUCCUUGGUUCUUUCCUGGUUUCAGGUUAUCAAGAAUAGAAUCAGAGCAAAGAAGUUUCAUCUGCAUCUUAUCAUAUCAGGGCUCCGGUCCCGCCUCCUAGGAGUUUGACCUUUAUGAUCCCCAUUCUCCAGCAGGGUAUUCGUCGAAAACAAGCUAUCUGUCCACUUGCUUUCAGCUCUCACCCUAUUCUUGAGAAAACCAAGUUCACUGCCUUAAUUUAGGAGUUAAAUAACCUGCUCUGAGUAGCUGGGACUUUUCCGGGAGUUCUUUUUCUAGGAGUUUUCGGAUUGAUUCCCUGAAUCUUCGAGGAAGAAGACUCUUUCAGGACUAGUUUCAUUUAAGGAUAAAUCCCUAUUUCCGGUUUCACUUCCUCAGUUAAGUGAGAAAGCGGGAUCUUUCAUCGAUAGCUAUUCAUUUGAGUCUUCGGGUAGCAUUGCUUUGCUUGGCAUCGGUCUAUCGUAGUCCCUACAAAAAGCACCGCUAGAUAAGAGGUUAGAAUCUAAAUCAUGACAGUAGCGGAAGUAGACACAAAAAGGAGAGAGAGAAUCGGAUUGAUGCAUAGCCCCAGUUCAAGUAGAACUUGUUGAGUUGGUUCCUUAAAAACCACAGAUGGCGCAAGAGCUGCUAUCGGAGGAACGAAAGAAGGAACUCGCAUAUCUUAGAUGAAAGGCAAAGCCAUCUCGUCAAGUCAGUUCAGUGAUUCGAGGGUAGGCAACUCUCAAAGGUCACUCUAGGACUUUGCCGGGUCUUCCUUAUUCUAGAUAGCACACACAGGAAGAUGGCUAGCUUUGCAUGGUCAAGAGCCAAGACCUCUUAUGCCUGAAAAGUCAGAAAGUAAAGUGCUAACGUGCAGCUCCCAUUCCGAAUCCAAGAUAAACCCUAAGAGAAGACCAUGCUACCAAUCCUAGCUGGCACCGAAGCCAAGGGAAAGCAUUUUCACAAGAGGAAUGAAAGAAGAGUUUAUUCGUAUUCAAUGCUAGCCGACCCAGCCUCCCAGAUCCGCAUCAGCGAGUGGUGUGAUGACGACCAACUUGACAUUUAAAAAAUAACGAUUUGAAUGUAAUCUGACUCGGGAAAAGAGAGAACAAGCAGAACUUUUAUAUAAAAUAUAUGAUAGGACUGCUGCCACUUUCUUGCUUUAAGUAAAGGCAGAAGGUCAGGCAGAUUCUAUCACAGCCAAUGAGUGCGAAACAGCUGAUUCCAUUUCUAGUCCUCCACCUAUCCCUUCCUUCUUCUAAUUCUAAUAAGAUAAAGCGAAAGACGCUAGGCAACCUCUUAUUGAAACCUUGCCAAUCUCUCUUGUCUCAUUCAUUUUCUUGCUUCGAGGAGGUUAUCUAAUAGUAUAAGAAGGGGACAGGUGCUCUCAUAUAAAAGAGAAGUCCGCCCCAGUCACUCAAUCUAGCUCACCAAGCCUUAGGAGUGCCUGUGGAUCUUGGGUGUAUUUGAUCUUGAUCCUAUGGUUUCUGCCACCAGAAUAUUAUAUCUUUUUUCUGUUUUUUACACCCUAAAAAGAUACCAAAGGUGUUAAUCUUAAUUGAUAAAGCUGAUGGUUUCAUUUUCAUUUUUUUCGAGACAUUUAUGUUUUUAAAAGUAAGUCAAAGCAAUCCAUAGGAAAUUAUUAUAAUAUAAGUAAUUAGAAAGAGACUCAAUCCAAGCUUACUAAUUCUACCUUCUAGCUCGUUUUAAAGCGUUGAAGAGAGAAUGGAUUACUCCUUGCCUUGACUCCAAGAUAUGGAAUUAGACUAACAAUUUUAAAUCAAGACAAGAGUAGCGAGGUACCAGCUUGGGUACUGGAUAAAGAAAGGUACAAGUCCUACAAGCAGCCAGAUAUGGGAGUUCUUCCGAUACAAACCAUUUCCUUCGUUCCCCAUACCGGAGGUAGCUUUAUCUGCUUUGCCAAAGAAAAGCUGAUAGCUAAUUCGAAUCCUGCAGUCCAUUAGUAGUUAUAAUUACUGCAUCAACGGUAAGGCAAACUAGGAAAUAAGGUUAAAAUGCUAAUGCUGUAGCCGCAAAGAGAUAGAGAUUCGGAAAGAAAGAAAAAGACGGAAAAGCUGGAUCAGCAGCAUAAGCUACAGUUGUUGCUGCACCUUUAUACUAACCUGGCCUUCAUAUAUUGUUUGGUAGACCUCACGGCCAUAAGCAAUGAUAACAGCAGAUGUGUCAUAGGGAACUGCAUUCUCAAGUUGAAAUAGCUCAAAGUUCCGCCACUUCUUUUCUUCCGGGACAAAGACCUCCUUUCAAACGAGCUACAAGGCCUCUAGAAAGCUUUCAAAAACUACCGUCAACCUACUCGGUCUCAGCUAUCUAAUCCUCAUCCGAGGAGUAAUGCACCUGUAAAGGGAGGGCAUUCAGUCAAGCAUCCAAUCAGCAGCUGGACUGGAAAAGAGAUACAAGAAUGAUUAUAGAGUUCCCAUCUUUCCCGACAAAUAGGUCCAAGGAAGAGCUAACUCCCAAGGGUCGGACAUAAUCCAAGUCUUUUACCGACACUUCGUGUCUUUAUACGUCCCAUGGGGGUCGUUCGCUUGCGCUCUCUCCUUUGGCUUGGACCCUGGGCUCGGAGAUAGGAACCGGUAAACAUGAUCCUAGAGGGAGGGCUUUUUACCUUGCCCUGGGGUUGGAUAAAGCCAAGACUUUUGAUCGAGGUUUCUUUCUUCGACCUUUUUGUCUCCAUAUUGUAAAGGGGAAGAUAAAGAGAGAAAGGAUUUCUUUGGACUGCUUUAUUCCUGUUGAUAAAAGGUCUGACUCUACGCUCUCUGCUUCGACUUCCAAUGUGAGAGCAGAAUCGGUUGUUUGCAAAUAAACUGUCAAAUGUCACUAAGCAACGGGUCCUUAAAACGAUUUAAAAUGGGACGAUGCCCGGUAUUCUCCAACAGUAAGAGGCACUGAGACAGAGACGAUCCUGGUACUACAUAAUGAGAGAUCAUUUAUUNNNNNNNNNNNNNNNNNNNNNNNNNNNNNNNNNNNNNNNNNNNNNNNNNNNNNNNNNNNNNNNNNNNNNNNNNNNNNNNNNNNNNNNNNNNNNNNNNNNNUUUCCCAUGACUCAUAAACCGGUCUCUUUUCUGGCUAGCACUACUAUUGGUGAAUCUACCUCUGAUUUCCCAAACGAUCGUACAAACAUGCAAGCCAGAAAGAAUAAGCCCUACUCUACUCGCAGGCUAUCUUACUAUCUCGAACUGGAUCCUAAAGUCCUAUUGAUGCAUAAGGUAAGAGCACAUUCCCAACCACUGCUACUGGAGCAACUCUAAAAGACACGGGGAGGUUCUGAAACGUACUGCGAGAUCAAAGCACUUAGCUAAUACUAAAAAGAAAGUAUGGGCUCAUCGCACCUUCACGGGUAUUGGAAGGUGAGUACAAUCAAAAGAUCGAUGUGAAUUGAGCUGUUAUUGAAUACUCUCGCUCGGGACUUACAAAACUUUCUGACAUAAUAUCGUGCUACUGCCUUGACCGCGGAUUCAUCACUUCCAACUGUCUAUCCUAAUUUAUUUUUAAAUAGGGCUUGAAGUUAACUGUAACUUCUAUCUAAUUUUAAAUAUGUUUAAAAAUAUGU